CAGUAGCCGCGGUAAAACGGAGGGUGCAAGCGUUAAUCGGAAUUACUGGGCGUAAAGCGCACGCAGGCGGUUUGUUAAGUCAGAUGUGAAAUCCCCGAGCUUAACUUGGGAACUGCAUUUGAAACUGGCAAGCUAGAGUCUUGUAGAGGGGGGUAGAAUUCCAGGUGUAGCGGUGAAAUGCGUAGAGAUCUGGAGGAAUACCGGUGGCGAAGGCGGCCCCCUGGACAAAGACUGACGCUCAGGUGCGAAAGCGUGGGGAGCAAACAGGAUUAGAUACCCGGGUAGUCCCUGUCUCUUAUAA
rnacentral:rRNA from 1 species